rnacentral:lncRNA from 1 species
GUCACUGUUUGACAAAUGUUGUUAGGCGUUCACACGUACGUGCGGUCGCAGACUCUGAAGCUUCGCAGCCGGAAGUUGAUCUGCAGCGCGCACAUCAGUUCGCGUACAUGAACGCCUCACGUAGUUGGCCUUUUCAUUUUAAUCAACCAGGGGAGGCAGCAGUGAGCCAUACUUUGCCUGCCGGAAAUUCAAACGAAGAAGAAGAAGAAGUUUUUUUUUUUUUUUUUUUUUAAUUUAAACAAGAAGAAGAAGAAUGAGAAAGGUGACUGGGGUAAUAUUUACGUAUAAAUACAUAGGUCAUUUGUGUUUAAGUUUAAAAGUAGAGUCUGGAGUAUUGCCUGUUACAGUUUGUAAGCAAAACAUUGAAACUGGGCCCCUCCUCUCAGGCUCAACUGGGUAACGUUAGCCUCCUGCCCCUGACAGCAGCAGUUACCAGGACCACAAAGGUGUAUUGUUGAUACAGGGCUAAACCAGGGUUUGACAAGAGUUGCCAGUGUCUGAUUCUACACCGUAACACAGCAGAGUGGGCGGGGCCUGCAGACCGACCCAGUUACACCUGCAGCGAGCAGACAGAGGAAGAGGAGUGUGAGAUCCACGGAGAAAGAGAACGACAGCUGUCGCCAGCAGACGGGCAUUGACUGUCGGACUAAUUGAAAUCGGAAGAGGCCGGCGCCCAAGGACGGUGUGACAGCAGUGGUGCCAAUGAUGAGAGUGAUGUUGGCCCGAGGUGACGGUGAACAGCUGAUACUCUGCCCCAUCAUCUCCCGAGUCUGCGUCCGGCAGAGGACAGUGUGCAAGUGGAAGACAGCGGUGGUCAUGGAGAAUCGGUGUUACCAAGUCACCACAAUAACGGACCCCUUCCCCCCAGACCCCAUUCUAUAAUUUCUGUGAAUAAAUAUUGUUUUAAAUGCCCUUUGCACUUUCUUGGUUGUCGAAACACACGUCAUAUACAUCAGCGUAGAUGAGAGCCAGGUCAGAGACAAGAGAGACAAUGAAUGAAAUCCCGCGAAAUGAUGUGCGGUCAAUAUGACCGCUUAUGGCCGAAAUAGGUAAAACAAAUCACAUUUUCUUUUCCUUUUGUGUAAUUUAUAUAAAAAAUAUUCUCAAUUAAAAUACAGAG